CUAAGAGCGAACGGUGGAUGCCUUGGCUAGUAGAGGCGAUGAAAGACGUGCCAGACUGCGAUAAGUCUCGGGGAGCCGUCAAGGGGCUUUGAUCCGGGAAUUUCUGAAUGGGGCAACCCAAUACAUAGCGAUAUGUGUUACCAUUAAUGGGGCCAACGCGGGGAACUGAAACAUCUAAGUACCCGCAGGAAGAGAAAUCAAUAGAGAUUACGCCAGUAGCGGCGAGCGAACGCGUAAGAGGGCAAACCACUAGUUUACUAGUGGGGUUGUAGGACCGCAACAUAGACUAGGAUCUGAUAAUAGAACAAUCUGGAAAGGUUAGGCAUAGAGGGUGAUACUCCCGUAUAUGAAAUCACAUCCUUACUUAGCGGUAUCCUGAGUAGGACGGGACACGUGAAAUCCUGUCUGAAGCCGGGUCGACCACGAUCCAACCCUAAAUACUACUACUAGACCGAUAGCGUACAAGUACCGUGAGGGAAAGGUGAAAAGAACGGCGGUGAGCCGAGUGAAAUAGAACCUGAAACCGUUUGCUUACAAUCAUUCAGAGCACUAUGCUAUACUCUUUAAAAUUAAUCCAGCUUGGCUUUUUAGCCCUUUUUUAUGAAACUGCGACUGCGGCAGCCGAAUCUGGCUAGCCUUGCCUUGUUUCAUAAAAAAUCAUCUAAAAAUCCUGCGCAUUUGAAAUUCUAAAUUUUAAAUCUAAUAAAAUUCAUCAUAAAUGACACAAGUAGAAUUUUAUGGUCUAAAUUUUAGAAGUAACGAUUAGCGAUUAGUUUUAAUGAGUAUAGCAGUGUGAUGGACUGCCUUUUGCAUAAUGAGCCUGCGAGUUGUGGUGUCUGGCGAGGUUAAGGAAACCCGGAGCCGUAGCGAAAGCGAGUCUUAAUAGGGCGAUUAGUCAGAUGCUGCAGACCCGAAACGAUGUGAUCUAUCCAUGAGCAGGUUGAAGCCGGUGUAAGAGCCGGUGGAGGACCCAACCGACGGCCGUUGAAAAGGCUCCGGAUGACUUGUGGAUAGGGGUGAAAGGCCAAUCAAACAUCGUGAUAGCUGGUUCUCUCCGAAAUAUAUUGAGGUAUAGCGUCGUGUAGUAGUUAUAAGGGGUAGAGCACUGAAUGGGCUAGGGCAUACACCAAUGUACCAAACCCUAUCAAACUCCGAAUACUUAUAGCGUAACCACGGCAGUCAGGCGGCGAGUGAUAAAAUCCGUCGUCAAGAGGGAAACAACCCGGACUAACAGCUAAGGUCCCCAAAUCUCAUUUAAGUGGAAAACGAUGUGAAGUUACUGAAACAACCAGGAGGUUGGCUUAGAAGCAGCCAUCCUUUAAAGAUAGCGUAAUAGCUCACUGGUCUAGUGAUUUUGCGCGGAAAAUAUAACGGGGCUAAAAUGAGUACCGAAGCUUUAGACUUGCACUUAAUCAUUUAUACUUGGCUUGGCUUUUGAGCGUCUUUAAAUGAGCUCGUAAAAAUAAAUGCUCACGAACUAUAGUUCGCUCCGCUUUAUUUUUACGUCGUAACAUUUAAAUCCAUCUCAAAACAAGUGAAGCGCUUUUUGCGAAAGCAAAAAUGUUUCUUUGAAAAUCCUGCGCCAUCUUGAGUUCAAAUUUGAACUAAAUGUCUUAAUCUAAAAUUUUAUAAAUUUUAAAUUUCUUAGAAUUUUAAAAUUCAACGAAGUAUAAAGCAAAGAGACAAGCCUAAGAAAAGUAUAAAUCAUUAAGUGCAAGUGGUAGGAGAGCGUUCCAAUCAGCGUCGAAGCCGUACCGGUAAGGAGCGGUGGAGCGGUUGGAAGUGAGCAUGCAGGCAUGAGUAGCGAUAAAAUACGUGAGAAUCGUAUUCGCCGUAAACCCAAGGUUUCCUACGCGAUGCUCGUCAUCGUAGGGUUAGUCGGGUCCUAAGCAAAGUCCGAAAGGGGUAUGCGAUGGAAAAUCGGUUAAUAUUCCGAUACCGAUAUCAGUGUGCGACGGAAGGACGCUUAAAGUUAGUGGAGCUAGCGGAUGGAAGUGCUAGUCUAAGGAAGUAGGUUGAGUUAUAGGCAAAUCCGUAACUCUUUAUCCGAGAUCUGAAAGGCUUCUGACGCUCUUCGGAGUAGAUGAAGAAUCCAUGAUACUAUCGAGCCGAGAAAAGUUUCUAAGUUUAGCUGAUAUCGCCCGUACCGUAAACCGACACAGGUGGGUGGGAUGAGUAUUCUAAGGCGCGUGGAAGAACUCUCUUUAAGGAACUCUGCAAAAUAGCACCGUAUCUUCGGUAUAAGGUGUGCCUAGCUUCGUUAAGAAUUUACUUCGUAGGCGAAGAAGGUUACAACAAAGAGUCCCUCCCGACUGUUUACCAUAAACACAGCACUCUGCUAACUCGUAAGAGGAUGUAUAGGGUGUGACGCCUGCCCGGUGCUCGAAGGUUAAUUGAUGAUGUUAGCUUACGCAAAGCGUCUGAUCGAAGCCCGAGUAAACGGCGGCCGUAACUAUAACGGUCCUAAGGUAGCGAAAUUCCUUGUCGGUUAAAUACCGACCUGCAUGAAUGGCGUAACGAGAUGGGAGCUGUCUCAAAGAGGGAUCCAGUGAAAUUGUAGUGGAGGUGAAAAUUCCUCCUACCCGCGGCAAGACGGAAAGACCCCGUGGACCUUUACUAUAGCUUGACACUGCUACUUGGAUAAAGAUGCGCAGGAUAGGUGGGAGGCUUUGAGUCGUAGAUCUCGGUUUACGAUGAGCCAUUGUUGAGAUACCACUCUUCUUUAUUCGGGUAGCUAACUAGCCUAAGUUAUCCUUAGGUAGGACAAUGUCUGGUGGGUAGUUUGACUGGGGCGGUCGCCUCCCAAAAUGUAACGGAGGCUUACAAAGGUUGGCUCAAAGCGGUUGGAAAUCGCUUGUAGAGUAUAAAGGCAAAAGCCAGCUUAACUGCGAGACAUACACGUCGAGCAGAGACGAAAGUCGGUCUUAGUGAUCCGGUGGUUCUGUGUGGAAGGGCCAUCGCUCAAAGGAUAAAAGGUACCCCGGGGAUAACAGGCUGAUCUCCCCCAAGAGCUCACAUCGACGGGGAGGUUUGGCACCUCGAUGUCGGCUCAUCGCAUCCUGGGGCUGUAGUCGGUCCCAAGGGUUGGGCUGUUCGCCCAUUAAAGCGGUACGCGAGCUGGGUUCAGAACGUCGUGAGACAGUUCGGUCCCUAUCUGCCGUGGGCGUAAGAAGAUUGAGGAGAGUUGACCCUAGUACGAGAGGACCGGGUUGAACCGACCACUGGUGUACCGGUUGUUCUGCCAAGAGCACCGCCGGGUAGCUAAGUCGGGAUGCGAUAAGAGCUGAAAGCAUCUAAGCUCGAAGCCGACUCCAAGAUGAAUCUUCUUUUAAGAGCUCUAGUAGACUACUAGUUUGAUAGGCCGGAUGUGUAAUGGAUGAAAGUCCUUUAGCUGACCGGUACUAAUAGCUCGUUUGCUUAUCUU
rnacentral:rRNA from 1 species